GUUUUUGGAAGGCAUCAGGUGUGUCCAUGACCUCACCUCAACUGUGGCCAUCCUCACCUGGUGUUCCCAUUAUCUAAACAAAGUCCAACAGCCACAAGAGUUGCACAAGCCCUCAGGAAGCUGGAACUUGCCUCCUGCAAGAAAUGCACAUUAAUAGCGGCUUCUUCCCUGAGGAAGGUUUUGAACUGGAGUACUUGAGAAGAAACUUACAACAGAGCAGCCUAAAGUGCCACCCAGUCCCUUUUAAUUAGCACAUGUAAGUCCCCCAACAUGCAAGAUAUGAUUGAGACUUUCUGCCAUUUCAUUUUAAUAUCAGUGUUAUAUGCUAACGUUUGUCAGACUAAGCUAAAAAACCACUUCUUUUUAUGUUGUUUCCCACAUGCAGAGCAGACCUCUUACAUUUUUGUUGGCUGCUAACGUACUAAGCGUUUUUUGGCAGCAUGCGGUUCUGGAUUGAAGCCAUGCAUGCAAGUCUUCCACAUUGUGCUCUUUUCCCAGCAUGUUCCCCAGGACAUUGGAAGAAGAGAAAAGCUGAAUCAGUUUGGAAAAACAUAAAUAUUUCUGAACGUGUGGACAGUUCUCACUUCUCAUGUGUGGGAGGAAUAUUUCACUGCCCUCCUACCCAUCACUCAAAUGUCCCGAUCAAGUUAUUGAAAUAAAUUAUCUUAAAGAAUAAUUAUCUGACAAGAAUUCUUUUCCUGUCUCAAAAAGCACAUCUACUACCCUAUAAGCUUUUUUACCUACAUAGCUUACACACAGGCUGAUUUCAAUAAAUAAACUGGAUGAUGCCUAAAUCCUCUG
rnacentral:lncRNA from 1 species